rnacentral:misc_RNA from 1 species
CCGUAUUCUGCUCUCACGUCGGCUUGGAGUUCUCGAGAAAUCGACACACCCAUCCGCGUGUUGUGGCUUUUAACGAAACUUUUGCUCAUCGGUCGAAUAAUCCCCGAAGGGUGCGCGUGGCAGAUGCUAGGAGACUCCGUCCUGUGGAGUCCCCCGCUUACUCUCUCUCUCUCUCUCUUGUUCCUCGGACGAUGAAGCUCGGUUUGUAAAAAAACAAACAAAAAAAGAAGAGGAGUGUGGGGUUUGACCAGUCUGUGGCGAGGUCUUCGGGGGAGGGAAGCGACAACCCUCCCAGCACCUCGGUAUGUCCGCUCCCCCCCAAAGUCUUUUUGUGCCGGUACGUACUUCUCUCGAAUGACCCACUCCGUCGUUCGCUCUCGAUCGUGAGAGCCGAUGCCUUGGGUGCGUUCAAAGAGCUUUUGGUGGAAACGCCGAGCCGCCGGCCCUAAAAACUUUUUUUUCCCGCGGUCGUCUAACUACAUUUAUUUUUUUCUACACACUAACAAGGACACAACUAGUUUGUUGCGAGCCGUCGUCUUUUCGGCGGCCGUCUCACUCAAUAUGAAACGUUAAUGUACGACCGUAGGCGUUGGAUCACUCGGCUCGU